rnacentral:lncRNA from 1 species
GAGAGGAGCGCACGUACGUUGAGAGGAGCGCACGUACGUUGAGAGGAGCGCACGUACGUUGAGAGGAGCGCACCGGAGAAAGAACACACGAGCUGCGGGACAGUGAGAGGAACACACUGGUAGAAGAGCACACAGGCAGCUGGAUGUCGAGAGGAGCGGAAGAGCACAGCGACAGGCACUGGUGUCGACCAGCGGAACGACGUGGAGUUUGGCCUGGGAGGUCAGAGAAGAAUUUGGCUGCUGGGCAGCCCCACUAUAGGGGAAAACCACCUUCCCACUCCAUUCCCCUUCUGAUCUCCCCAUCCACCUCGCUGAGAGCUACCACAACUCAAUAAAAAACCUAGCACUCGAUCUCCAAGCCCACAUGUGAUCCAAUUUUUCCCGUGCACUAAAGCAAGAACCUGGGAUACAGAAAGCCGUCUGUCCUUGUGAUAAGGCAGAGGGUCUAAUUGAGCUGAUUAACACAAGCCACCUGCGGACAGCUAAGCUGAAAAAGCAUCCUGUAACACACGCCCACUGGGGCCUCAGGAGGUGUAAACAUUCACCCCGAGAGGCUGCAUGGGUCCGCGCCCAUGGUCCCCAUGACUUGCCUGUUUGCCUGCUCUGGCUAAGGGUCUUGACCAGUGGGGCACUGAAGAAGCGAGCCACACCUCCAUCGUACGCCCUGCGAGGAGGGGUCUCACUCAGUGACCCAGGCUGAAUGCAGUGGAACAAUCAUGGCUUACUGUAGCCUUGACCUUGAGGGCUUAAGCAAUCCUGCCACCUCAGCCUGCCUAGUACUGGGACUACAGGUACGCGCCACCACGCCCAGAAAUUGCCACAGUCACCUCAACCUUCAGCAACCACCAACUUGAUCAAUCAGCAGCCAAUAACGUGAAGUCAUGACCAUUCACCAGCAAAAAGUUUAUGAUUCACCAAAAUAUUAGAUGAUCAUUAACAUUUUUAGCAAUAAUGUAUUUGUCAUUAAGGUGUUAGUGCAUUGGAAAAUCAUUUAAAGAAUGUAUCAGCUAAUUGAAGGCUUAUGUGAUCAUUCAAAGAUAAGCUACCUGAUGAAAAAAUAAAGGUUAAUGCAAUUCAACAACAAAAUUAAUGCUGCAAACAUCUCUCUUCUAUUUUAGACAUUCUUCUAACUGCUGGAACUAAUAAGAUAUGAAUGAUGAAGCUUAUAUUCUUCUAGGAAUGAUAUAUACUUCACACAAAUAUAAAUAAAAAGCCUAGAUAAUUACAAAUAAGUUAUAUGAAUGAAGUUGACAGUAACUGAAAGAAGUCCGUUUAAAUAUGGUUGUCGGAAAGCCUCUACAGAAGGUGCCAUCUAAACACAGAUCCAAGGGAUACCGGUAGACUAGCUGUACUAAGAACCAUGGAGAGAGCGUUCUAGAGUGUACAUGUUCAGAGGCCGAAUAGAAUGAAUGAGUUAGACACAUCUGGGAAACGAAAAAGAAGCCAAUGUGAAUGGAAAACAAGGACCGUUACUGUAGGCCAUGAAAACAUUUUCUCUUUCUCUCCCCCUCUCUCUGUUUUUUGUUUGUUUGUUUGUUUGUUUGUUUUGGUUUGGUUUGGUUUUU